CACUGCUAUCGGAUUGAUACUAAGCUAUGCGAGUAUUGUAGCAAUACAAGGCAGACGGCUCAGUAACGCGUAGUCAAUCUACCCUAUGGACGGGAAUAACCUCGGGAAACUGAGAAUAAUGCCCGAUAGAACAUUAUGCCUGGAAUGGUCUAUGUUUCAAAUGAUUUAUCGCCAUAGGAUGGGACUGCGGCCUAUCAGUUUGUUGGUGAGGUAAUGGCCCACCAAGACUAUUACAGGUACGGGCUCUGAGAGGAGUGGCCCGGAGAUGGGUACUGAGACACGGACCCAGGCCCUAUGGGGUGCAGCAGGCGAGAAAACUUUGCAAUGUGCGAAAGCACGACAAGGUUAAUCCGAGUGGUUUCUGCUAAAGAAACCUUUUGUCAGUCCUAGAAACACUAACGAAUAAGGGGUGGGCAAGUUCUGGUGUCAGCCGCCGCGGUAAAACCAGCACCUCAAGUGGUCAGGAUGAUUAUUGGGCCUAAAGCAUCCGUAGCUCGUUUUUGUAAGUUUUCGGUUAAAUCCAUACGCUUAACGUAUGGGCUUGCCGGGAAUACUGCAUAACUAGGAAGUGGGAGAGGUAACGGUACUCGGGUGGGAAGGGGUUAAAUCCCUUGAUCUAUUUGAUUGACCCACCUUGUUGGCGAAAGGCGGGUCUUACCCAGAACACGUUUCAACGGGUUNAGGGAUUAAANNCUUGGGGGGAACCAANCCGGAAUUUAAAUUACCCCGGGGUAGUCCCANCCUNGUAAACUAUGCAAACUNCANUGAAUCAUUGG
rnacentral:rRNA from 1 species